rnacentral:rRNA from 1 species
UACGGAGGGUGCAAGCGUUAUCCGGAUUCACUGGGUUUAAAGGGAGCGUAGGCGGGCUAUCAAGUCUGGGGUGAAAUCCCGCGGCUCAACCGUGGAACUGCCUCAGAUACUGACGGCCUCGAGGGAGAUAGGGGCAUGCGGAACUGUAGGUGGAGCGGUGAAAUGCGUUGAUAUCUACAGGAACUCCGGUGGCGAAAGCGGCGUGCUGGAUCUCUUCUGACGCUGAGGCUCGAAAGCUAGGGGAGCAAACGGG